rnacentral:rRNA from 1 species
CCUACGGGGGGCUGCAGUGGGGAAUAUUGCACAAUGGGGGAAACCCUGAUGCAGCGACGCCGCGUGAGUGAAGAAGUAUUUCGGUAUGUAAAGCUCUAUCAGCAGGGAAGAAAAUGACGGUACCUGACUAAGAAGCCCCGGCUAACUACGUGCCAGCAGCCGCGGUAAUACGUAGGGGGCAAGCGUUAUACGGAUGUACUGGGUGUAAAGGGAGCGUAGACGGUGAUGCAAGGCAGAAGUGAAAGCCCGGGGCGCAACUCCGGGACUGCUUUUGAAACUGUGUGACUGGAGUGCAGGAGAGGUAAGCGGAAUUCCUGGUGUAGCGGUGAAAUGCGUAGAUAUCAGGAGGAACACCAGUGGCGAAGGCGGCUUACUGGACUGUAACUGACGUUGAGGCUCGAAAGCGUGGGGAGCAAACAGGAUUAGAUACCCCUGUAGUC